rnacentral:rRNA from 1 species
AUUGAACGCUGGCGGCAUGCUUUACACAUGCAAGUCGAACGGUAACAGGUUAAGCUGACGAGUGGCGAACGGGUGAGUAAUGCAUCGGAACGUGCCCGGUCGUGGGGGAUAACGCAGCGAAAGCUGCGCUAAUACCGCAUACGAUCUGAGGAUGAAAGCGGGGGACCGUAAGGCCUCGCGCGAUCGGAGCGGCCGAUGUCAGAUUAGGUAGUUGGUGGGGUAGAGGCUCACCAAGCCAACGAACUGUAGCUGGUCUGAGAGGACGACCAGCCACACUGGGACUGAGACACGGCCCAGACUCCUACGGGGGGCAGCAGUGGGGAAUUUUGGACAAGGGGCGAAAGCCUGAUCCAGCAAUGCCGCGUGCAGGAAGAAGGCCUUCGGGUUGUAAACUGCUUAUGUACGGAGCGAAAAGGUCUCCUCUAAUACAGGGGGCUCAUGACGGUACCGUAAGAAUAAGCACCGGCUAACUACGUGCCAGCCGCCGCAGUAA